AACGAGCGCUGGCGGCAGGCUUAACACAUGCAAGUCGAGCGCCCCGCAAGGGGAGCGGCAGACGGGUGAGUAACGCAUGGGAAUCUACCCAUCUCUACGGAAUAACGCAUGGAAACGUGUGCUAAUACCGUAUACGUCCUUCGGGAGAAAGAUUUAUCGGAGAUGGAUGAGCCCGCGUUGGAUUAGCUAGUUGGUGGGGUAAAGGCCUACCAAGGCGACGAUCCAUAGCUGGUCUGAGAGGAUGAUCAGCCACACUGGGACUGAGACACGGCCAAGACUCCUACGGGAGGCAGCAGUGGGGAAUAUUGGACAAUGGGCGCAAGCCUGAUCCAGCCAUGCCGCGUGAGUGAUGAAGGCCCUAGGGUUGUAAAGCUCUUUCACCGGUGAAGAUAAUGACGGUAACCGGAGAAGAAGCCCCGGCUAACUUCGUGCCAGCCGCCGCGGUAACAC
rnacentral:rRNA from 1 species